rnacentral:rRNA from 1 species
AAAGGAAUUGACGGGGGCCCGCACAAGCGGAGGAACAUGUGGUUUAAUUCGAUGAUACGCGAGGAACCUUACCCGGGCUUGAAAUGCAUCUGAUUUACGUGGAAACAUGUAUUCUAGCAAUAGCAGAUGUGUAGGUGCUGCAUGGUUGUCGUCAGCUCGUGCCGUGAGGUGUCGGCUUAAGUGCCAUAACGAGCGCAACCCUUAUCAUUAGUUGCCAUCGGGUCAUGCCGGGAACUCUAAUGAGACUGCCACCGUAAGGUGUGAGGAAGGUGGGGAUGACGUCAAAUCAGCACGGCCCUUAUGUCCGGGGCGACACACGUGUUACAAUGGGGGGUACAGAGGGUCGCUACCUGGCAACAGGAUGCUAAUCUCAUAAAUCCUCUCUCAGUUCGGAUCGGAGUCUGCAACUCGACUCCGUGAAGCUGGAUUCGCUAGUAAUCGCGCAUCAGCCAUGGCGCGGUGAAUACGUUCCCGGGCCUUGUACACACCGCCCGU